rnacentral:rRNA from 1 species
UGAACGCUGGCGGUAGGCCUACCACAUGCACGUCGAACGGCAGCACAGUAAGAGCUUGCUCUUACGGGUGGCGAGUGGCGGACGGGUGAGGAAUACAUCGGAAUCUACUUUUUCGUGGGGGAUAACGUGGGGAAACUUACGCUAAUACCGCAUACGACCUACGGGUGAAAGCAGGGGAUCUUCGGACCUUGCGCGAUUGAAUGAGCCGAUGUCGGAUUAGCUAGUUGGCGGGGUAAAGGCCCACCAAGGCGACGAUCCGUAGCUGGUCUGAGAGGAUGAUCAGCCACACUGGAACUGAGACACGGUCCAGACUCCUACGGGAGGCAGCAGUGGGGAAUAUUGGACAAUGGGCGCAAGCCUGAUCCAGCCAUACCGCGUGGGUGAAGAAGGCCUUCGGGUUGUAAAGCCCUUUUGUUGGGAAAGAAAAGCAGCAGGUUAAUACCCCGCUGUUCUGACGGUACCCAAAGAAUAAGCACCGGCUAACUUCGUG